rnacentral:lncRNA from 1 species
UUGUUUUAGCCAUCUCAUUUCUUAAAGCUUUGGUGAGUCUACAUACAAGCUCAAAAUUUGGAUCAUUACAAUCAACAAUCACACCUCCAAUAGAUACCUUGCCAUCGCCGUGAGACAUGGAGGAAUGUGAUGAAGUGGAUGAGCUUGUAGAAGCAUCACUCUCAUAGCCAUCAUCUUCAUCUUCACUUGACCAUGAGGUGGAGCAAUCCUCCACAACCACCUUGUUGUGGUCAUGCUCAUCAUCCUCAUGUAUCUCCACCUUUGGUUCCUCCUUUUUGAACUUGCCAUCAUCCCAUGUGGAGGAAUCACCGAAGGUGUGUUUGAUAGACUCCCACAUUUCAUAUGCGGUUCCUUU